UACGGAGGGUGCAAGCGUUAUCCGGAUUCACUGGGUUUAAAGGGUGCGUAGGUGGGAAUGUAAGUCAGUGGUGAAAUCUUCGAGCUUAACUCGGAAACUGCCAUUGAUACUAUGUUUCUUGAAUCUUCUGGAGGUUAGCGGAAUAUGUCAUGUAGCGGUGAAAUGCUUAGAUAUGACAUAGAACACCAAUUGCGAAGGCAGCUAGCUACAGGGGUAUUGACACUGAGGCACGAAAGCGUGGGGAUCAAACAGG
rnacentral:rRNA from 1 species